GACGAACGCUGGCGGCGUGCCUAAUACAUGCAAGUCGAGCGAAGUUUUUCUGGUGCUUGCACUAGAAAAACUUAGCGGCGAACGGGUGAGUAACACGUAAAGAACCUGCCUCAUAGAGCGGGGACAACUAUUGGAAACGAUAGCUAAUACCGGAUAACAGCAUAAAUCGCAUGAUAUAUGUUUAAAAGUUGGUUUCGGCUAGCACUAUGAGAUGGCUUUGCGGUGCAUUAGCUAGUUGGUGGGGUAAAGGCCUACCAAGGCGACGAUGCAUAGCCGACCUGAGAGGGUGAUCGGCCACACUGGGACUGAGACAGCGGCCCAGACUCCUACGGGAGGCAGCAGUAGGGAAUCUUCCGCAAUGGGCGAAAGCCUGACGGAGCAACGCCGCGUGAGUGAAGAAGGAUUUCGGUUCGUAAAGCUCUGUUGUUAGGGGAGAAUGAUUGUGUAGUAACUAUUC
rnacentral:rRNA from 1 species